UAACCUCCGCAGCUGCCCCCCCAGGCUGGGCUGGGCGACUGUCUUUUCGAAAGGCUCACUCUCAAGCACGACUAGGAGC
rnacentral:pre_miRNA from 1 species